GGUUGUAUGGUGUAGUGGAUAGCACUCCAGAUUCUGAUUGAAGGUGCUACCGCCAUGGUGUGCCUAUCAUUAAAUUCUGGCGACCCCAGUUCGAUCCCGGGGUAUCUAGAACCC